GAUGAACGCUGGUGGCGUGCCUAAUACAUGCAAGUCGAGCGAACCACUUCGGUGGUGAGCGGCGAACGGGUGAGUAACACGUAGGUGAUCUGCCCAUCAGACGGGGACAACGAUUGGAAACGAUCGCUAAUACCGGAUAGGACGAAAGUUUAAAGGUGCUUCUGGCACCGCUGAUGGAUGAGCCUGCGGCGCAUUAGCUAGUUGGUAGGGGAAAGGCCUACCAAGGCGACGAUGCGUAGCCGACCUGAGAGGGUGAACGGCCAAACUGGGACUGCGACACGGCCCAGACUCCUACGUGAGGCAGCAGUAGGGAAUAUUCGGCAAUGGGCGAAAGCCUGACCGAGCAACGCCGCGUGAAUGAUGAAGGCCUUCGGGUUGUAAAAUUCUGUUAUAAGGGAAUAACGACUUUAGUAGGAAAUGGCUAGAGUGUGACGGUACCUUAUGAGAAAGCCACGGCUAACUACGUGCCAGCCGCCGCAGUAA
rnacentral:rRNA from 1 species